rnacentral:rRNA from 1 species
AACGAACGCUGGCGGCAGGCCUAACACAUGCAAGUCGAGCGAAGCCUUCGGGCUUAGCGGCGGACGGGUGAGUAACACGUGGGAACGUGCCCUUUGGUACGGAAUAGCCCCGGGAAACUGGGAGUAAUACCGUAUGUGGUCGCGAGACGAAAGAUUUAUCGCCAAAGGAUCGGCCCGCGUUGGAUUAGGUAGUUGGUGGGGUAAUGGCCUACCAAGCCGACGAUCCAUAGCUGGUUUGAGAGGAUGAUCAGCCACACUGGGACUGAGACACGGCCCAGACUCCUACGGGAGGCAGCAGUGGGGAAUCUUAGACAAUGGGGGAAACCCUGAUCUAGCCAUGCCGCGUGAUCGAUGAAGGCCUUAGGGUUGUAAAGAUCUUUCAGUGGGGAAGAUAAUGACUGUACCCACAGAAGAAGCCCCGGCUAACUCCGUGCCAGCCGCCGCAGUAACAC